UGGGGAAUAUUGGACAAUGGGGGGAACCCUGAUCCAGCCAUGCCGCGUGUGUGAAGAAGGCCUUAUGGUUGUAAAGCACUCUAAGCGAGGAGGAGGGUACUGGUAUUAAUACUACCAGGUACUGGACGUUACUCGCAGAAUAAGCACCGGCUAACUCUGUGCCAGCAGCCGCGGUAAUACAGAGGGUGCGAGCGUUAAUCGGAUUUACUGGGCGUAAAGCGUGCGUAGGCGGCUAAUUGAGUCGGAUGUGAAAUCCCCGAGCUUAACUUGGGAAUUGCAUUCGAUACUGGUUAGCUAGAGUGUGGGAGAGGAUGGUAGAAUUCCAGGUGUAGCGGUGAAAUGCGUAGAGAUCUGGAGGAAUACCGAUGGCGAAGGCAGCCAUCUGGCCUAACACUGACGCUGAGGUACGAAAGCAUGGGGAGCAAACAGG
rnacentral:rRNA from 1 species